rnacentral:tRNA from 1 species
UGCAGAGAAGAGCAAUCGGUUUGUUCGUCAGGCUCAUAAUCUGAAGGUUGUAGGUUCAAAUCCUACCUCUGCUC